rnacentral:lncRNA from 1 species
AACUCACAAAAUGAACAAGUAAAUGCUGAUGGAAAUCACAACUUUUUCCCCCUCUGGUCAACAAGAUAAAACAGUACUUGGCUGAGCCUAAGCAGCUAAAAUAACAGCUUGAUUAAUGCUUUUCGCAGCAAGGAACCUACGAAAAAAGCCUUAAAUUAAUUGCUUCCGUCCAGACUCUUGCUUAGUUUACUGAUCACCAUCAUUGUGGUAAUUUUGGCAAAGUGAUUGUAGUCAAUAGCUUUCCUCUGGUUUCUCCCUGAUUUUGUACUAACUUUGGUGUCCGAGACCGCAACUGGUUUCCUGACAACUUGAAACGGGAUUGAUUGAGGCUUUGGAGGCGGCUUUUUAUCGGCUUUAAUUUGAACUUCUUUAAGGAUUCAAGCGAUUUCUUCUUCAAAUUGUCUCAAUCUUUCACUAUCAAACUCAAACAGCAAAUCUUUGUUGUCAUUAAGAUCUUCAUCAAUGAUCCUUUGAAUAAUUUCUUUCGGUUUCUGGAAUAUUGAUCUAAUUAGUGCUUCACCUUCUUCUUUUUUCAAGCUCUUAUCCUGGGCAGUUGUGCUCUGCCUACUCCCGUGGCCUCAAGCAUAGGAUCUACACUAACAGUUGCAUGUUUUCAUUUCUUCAAGUGCAGCAAGAAUAUCCCAUCUCCUUUUUUGAAGUCAAGGUUCUAUUCUCCAAAGCUUCUCUUCAGCAUCUCUCUUCUUUUUCGGCUUGUCUGCUUCCUUAUCCUCCACACACCGAGGUUCCAAUACAACUUAACCGACUCUUCUCAGGAUUUGGGAGGCACUAGGGCUUUUCUUCUCUUGUCGAACAGGAUCAAAUAUAAACGGUUAAUGUUGAAGCGUCUUUGGUAGGCACCGAUACAGCGAUCAAGAAUUUAGACAUAGAGAGUAAUUGUUUAGGAAUUGUGUAUUAUUCCCAUGUCCAUAACAUGUUUGAUAAAAUGCCCAAGAAGGAACCAUAUGUCCAACACUCCAACCUGUUGCGUU